rnacentral:lncRNA from 1 species
UACCAUUCACAUACAAAUAUCAUUCAAACAUACAAAUAUUGUCCAUAUUGUCAUACAAAAAUACCAUUCAAUACAUACAAAUAUUGUCAAAUACAAACAUUCAACACAAACCUAUUGCCAACAUCCAACACAAACCUAUUGCCAACAUACAAAUAUUCAAAAGCAUUCAAAUAACAUAAAAUAAAAUCGAGAAACCUAUUUGUUGGUGUCAGUCACGCUAUUAUAAGUCGCGUUGUUGCCAACAUUUUCAAUAUUCGAAUCUCUUGUAAUUGACGUGAUUAGAAAAAAACAAUGAAGAAGAAAAACAGGGAGCUUUGAAGGUGAUGAUUUCUGGAUCUACUGUGAUACUUGCCGAUCGAUUUUAAUUUCUGUAAAGAUUUUAAAUAAUUUAAUUUCACAAUAAAUGGAAAACAGUGAACUAGUUGAAAUUUUAAUUUAGGGAAAUGGAAACCCAAAGAAAUUUGAAAUGGAAAAACCUUGAAAUGGAAAACAUAAAUUGAUAUUGAUUAAAAAAUGAAAAAAUUUGAGAACCCAAAGAUGGGUUGUGGAGUCUAAUCUGAGUUUCAAAAAGCGAAGUCGUCGACGUUCGCCGGAUGGAAGCCUAACCUUGCCGGACUGGUAUUCUGAAAAUGCUACAAAACUAUAUAUGGAAUAAUCUAAAAAAGAAAUUCGAUGUCCCAAAUGGAACACUCCUCUUCGCACUCAAGAAAAGAAUAGAAAACUACCGUCAAGGAUACGAUUCUAUCAUAAACUACUACAAUAAAAUUACAAGACUCUGGUGUGAAUAUCCUUGUAUGGUGGACUUUUCGGGACGAAAUUUCCCCACAAAUUAUGUACAUAGAUCAAAGUUCAUAGAUUACUCCCCACUGCACAAAGGCUACUCCUGCCUGCAUCAAUAUGUCGACUGAGAAGAUCAGGGGCAGAUUUUGAAUAUAAUUAUCUAAAAUGACUUGGUGUUCAAAACUAACCACCAAGCCUAUUUCUUAGGUGGUUAAAGUGUGUUAUUAAUUUUUUUUUCUGAUUUGCCACUCGUUAAAAUAAUUUCGAGAUUAACCUCACAAUAAAUACAUGUUAACCCACACGUUGACCCGUUAUAUCAUACCUAGAUAAAUGUUACCUGAUGUCCAAUAACCCGGCUCACAUAUUCGAUUACCCGUCUAAACACUUAGGUAUAAAUUAUACCGACAGACAGUAGCACUGAUGAGGCCGGGAUCGAGAAUAUGGAGACAUUGUCGGUCGGUAAAAAUUCAGAGGUAAAAAAAUCGGAUUAGAAGAAGAUAUCAGAGGUAGCACUCAAACUUGGAACAAGAAGAAAUCGUAGGUAAAAAAUCGGAGAAGAAUAAAUCCGAGGUAGCACUGAAAGUAAGAAAUUCGAGGAAGAAAAACUUGGAAGAAGAAGAAGAAAUCGAAGGUAGGUAAAAAAUCAGGGUGACAUACCUUAUAUCCUCCAUGACCAUAACAACUUCAUGAUCCAUGAAAUGAGGAAUGAUGAAAACUUCGGGGGUGAUCGAGGAGGUGAAGACGCACGAUAGGGGUGAUGGAAAGAACGAUGGAUGAAAAGAUGAGUUUUUGCCCGUUAUUUUAGUAGAUGACAUUUCCGUAACUUUGCUUUAAUUAUAAGGGUAAAAUCGUCUCAAAAUUUAUAGGUGA